rnacentral:rRNA from 1 species
UACGUAGGGGGCAAGCGUUGUCCGGAAUCAUUGGGCGUAAAGCGCGUGUAGGCGGCCCGGUAAGUCCGCUGUGAAAGUCGGGGGCUCAACCCUCGAAUGCCGGUGGAUACUGUCGGGCUAGAGUGCGGAAGAGGCGAGUGGAAUUCCUGGUGUAGCGGUGAAAUGCGCAGAUAUCAGGAGGAACACCUGCGGCGAAGGCGGGUUGCUGGGCUGACACUGACGCUGAACUGCGAAAGCUAGGGGAGCGAACGGG